CCACUUUAGUUCAGUGGUAGAAUGGCCCGCACGGUUUGAUAUAUUCGAUCGCGGGAGACCGUGGGUUCGAUUCCCGCGGGGUGCC